AGUAACACGUGGAUAACCUAUCUAUAAGACUGGGAUAACUUCGGGAAACCGGAGCUAAUACCGGAUAAUAUUUUGAACCGCAUGGUUCAAAAGUGAAAGACGGUCUUGCUGUCACUUAUAGAUGGAUCCGCGCUGCAUUAGCUAGUUGGUAAGGUAACGGCUUACCAAGGCAACGAUGCAUAGCCGACCUGAGAGGGUGAUCGGCCACACUGGAACUGAGACACGGUCCAG
rnacentral:rRNA from 1 species